CCCGGGAAAGGCUAAUGUGGUUGCGGACGCCUUAAACCAGAAAUCAUUGUUUGCUUUACGAGCGAUGAAUGUGCACUUGUCUGUUCUACCCGACAAUGUGUUAGUAGCUGAAUUAAAAGCCAGACCAUUAUUGAUUCAUCAAAUUCGUGAAGCUCAGAAAGUUGAUGAUGAAUUGGUUGCAAAACGGGCUGAGUGUGUUCCGAACAAGGAAUCGGAGUUUCAAAU
rnacentral:lncRNA from 1 species